CGUAACUGGAGCAGUUACAACUCCUCUUGAUGUAGUAAUAAAGACCAGAUUGAUGGUUCAGGGAUCACAAAACCAUUACAAAGGCAUUUCUGAUUGUGUGAGAACAAUAGUUAAAGAAGAAGGAAGUCAUGCUCUUUUUAAAGGUAUUGGGUCUG